rnacentral:tRNA from 1 species
CAAAGGAAGCCUGAUAAAAGGAAUAUUUUGAUAGAAUAUAUAAUGUAGAUAAAUAUACUACUCCUUUGA